GUAUAUAUUAUUAUAUAGGCACAACAUUCUAUUGACAUACAUUGGGGUAAAUGAAGCAACAUAGACCUGAAAGGCCUACAAAAAGUGCACAGGUGGAGAUAUAAAGAUGACAAGGCGUGCACAUGCUCCCUAGAGAACCAGCAACAACCCAUCAGGUUUAUUUCAAUAAUGAUCCUUCCGCAGGUUCACCUACGGAAA
rnacentral:misc_RNA from 1 species